rnacentral:rRNA from 1 species
GAUGAACGCUGGCGGCGUGCCUAACACAUGCAAGUCGAGCGAUUCUCUUCGGAGAAGAGCGGCGGACGGGUGAGUAACGCGUGGGUAACCUGCCUCAUACACAUGGAUAACAUACCGAAAGGUAUGCUAAUACAGGAUAAYAUAAGAGAUUCGCAUGRAUUUCUUAUCAAAGCUCCGGCGGUAUGAGAUGGACCCGCGUCUGAUUAGCUAGUUGGUAAGGUAAUGGCUUACCAAGGCGACGAUCAGUAGCCGACCUGAGAGGGUGAUCGGCCACAUUGGAACUGAGACACGGUCCAAACUCCUACGGGAGGCAGCAGUGGGGAAUAUUGCACAAUGGGCGAAAGCCUGAUGCAGCAACGCCGCGUGAGUGAUGAAGGCCUUCGGGUCGUAAAACUCUGUCCUCAAGGAAGAUAAUGACGGUACUUGAGGAGGAAGCCCCGGCUAACUACGUGCCAGCAGCCGCGGUAAUACGUAGGGGGCUAGCGUUAUCCGGAUUUACUGGGCGUAAAGGGUGCGUAGGUGGUUUCUUAAGUCAGGAGUGAAAGGCUACGGCUCAACCGUAGUAAGCUCUUGAAACUGGGAAACUUGAGUGCAGGAGAGGAAAGUGGAAUUCCUAGUGUAGCGGUGAAAUGCGUAGAUAUUAGGAGGAACACCAGUAGCGAAGGCGGCUUUCUGGACUGUAACUGACACUGAGGCACGAAAGCGUGGGGAGCAAACAGGAUUAGAUACCCUGGUAGUCCACGCCGUAAACGAUGAGUACUAGGUGUCGGGGGUUACCCCCCUCGGUGCCGCAGCUAACGCAUUAAGUACUCCGCCUGGGGAGUACGCUCGCAAGAGUG